CUGCUGACAAUAGUGCCCUAGUUCCAGAAUAGUUGCAUCUAGAAAUUUUAAAUAAAUAUGGUUUGAUUUGUCACUUCUUUUGAUUUUAUUUUCUUUUGUUUGAUAUGUAAUUAGUGAGCUGAAGUUUUGUUUUUGGUAAGGCCUACCAUUCUUUACUGCAUGGCAUAUGUUCAUCAAAUAAUUGGUAAACUUAGGAUAAUGAUUUUGACAGGUAGGUAUUACAAACUGCUUAGAGCUAUGAUUCCUCCCUCCUGUUUUCUUUGGGUAGGUAGAAGUAUGCAAGAAAGUGAAUAUACCUUUUGAAAUGGUUGUUGCCGAAUCUUGAGAAAGAGUCAAGGUGGCCAGAGAUAAUCGAUGUAUAUGGAGUGGAGUUGCCAAGUCAUUCUUUGCCUAUAAGUCCUCUCAUCCAACCAAGGGAGUUGUUUCCCCUGCCCCAACCUUUUGGGACGAAUUUGUGGAUUUCAAAAAUAUAAUAUUCAUAGAAGGUCAAACUUAUGUUGCAUUUAUUCUUGUUUGGGGAACUACAUGAAUUCUUUUUAUUAUUCUGUGAUGCUUUCACUGACCAUUCCAAUUCAAAGCAGACUUUUUCUUUCUAUGUAUUCAUCUUAUUUGCCCUAAUCAUUUGGUUUUACCCCAAAAUACAAAGCUAUAUUUAUAUCUUUAUUUUAUGUCUCUUUCAUUAUAUAAUCCAAACUUGGGAGUAGGGAUCUUGCCUUUAUAUAUCUUGCAUAAUUUUCUGUGUGGUGUUUUGGACAAAGGAGUUUAGGAACUUAACAGUAGUCUAGUCCAAUCUGCUUAUUCUGUAGAUAGAAAACUCAUAGUUUGUUGCUCGAUUUGAUGCACAUUUAGUAUUUACAUGCAUACCAGUAUAGCAUGAAUAUAAUAAACCUUGAAUUAGGGUGUAAUUUCAUUUGAAACUAACAAAAAGUCUUAGAAUGGAGGACUUUCAGGCCACCACUACCACAACAAUAUUUCUAUUGCCCUUCAUAGUUUACAGAGCUCUUUUACAUAUAUGAUUUUGUUAUAUCCUCAGAUCCUCAGAAAUUCUUUGAGGUAGAGAGGUGAUUUUAUUGUUGCCAUAAUUAAAUAAUGAUACUAAGACCCAAAGAACCAACUUGCUAAUAAUUGAUAGAGCUGAGGCUGUAACCUAAGACUUUGAAUUCCAAGUGUUGUAUGUGUCCUAUUAUAUCAGGUUGCUUCUAGAUUAUCUAUCCAGUCCUGUUGUUAGUGGACAAGAUUUCCUUUCAAUAAAUCAGUCAUUCAAUAAGUGUUGACUGAAUGCUGGGGUUGUAAUACAGAGCACAUUUUCAGCUGCAUUUGGGAAAAUAAGACUCCUAUAGCAUUUGUUCUUACACAAAUAUAUACCCACUUACACAAGUACUCACCUAUUUAUUAUAACAGUUAUCACAUUGAAUUGUAACUUGUCUUUUUUACAUGUCUGUCUCCCCAACCAGAUUGUGUGCUUCUUGAGAAUCCUCUGAUUAUUCUGUGAGCUCCUUUGUAUCCUCAAUGCCAAAUACAGACUCUGGCACAUAGGUGCCUAGUUUGUUCAGUUAAUGAAUGAAUAAUUCUGUGAAUACAGACAUGAAAGACAUUUGCCCUCUGGGGGCUUACAAGUCUUCUUGGGGAGAUAAAGCAUGAAGUUUACAAUAAAUACAAAGAUUUUUAAAAAGCAAAUUGUUUUUUUUUUUUUAAGAGAAACUUUGUUUAUAGGGUUUGUUUUUUUUUAACUA